AAAGCACUGACUAAAGCUAACAGAGCUGAGGGAAGAUUAUCUGUGCUUGCAGGAGUUCGUUUGACCCCAGUGUCCCCUGACUACUCUCACUCCAAACCCUGAGUGGCAGAGCCUGCUGGGCCUGUAUGGAAUAUGAUCUUUCAGCAUGUGGCAAAUUGCAAUUCUACAGAUGGUUUUAAAGAAAAAAGUAAUAACAAUUAUUAUGUUUUAAUUUUUAUUCUCUCAGUAUGUAACGGACGUGGAGUUAAGUGAAGAUUGUUUUAUCAUAUGUGACCUUGAGCUAUAGUAGGAUCUUAUUCUUCAUUAAUAAUAAAGAUUUGAUUCUUUCA